UACGUAGGUGGCAAGCGUUGUCCGGAAUGACUGGGCGUAAAGGGAGCGUAGGCGGCGCAGUAAGUUAGGAGUGAAAUCCCGUGGCUUAACCAUGGAACUGCUUUUAAAACUGCUGUGCUUGAGUGAUGGAGAGGAAAGCGGAAUUCCUAGUGUAGCGGUGGAAUGCGUAGAUAUUAGGAGGAACACCAGAGGCGAAGGCGGCUUUCUGGACAUUAACUGACGCUGAGGCUCGAAAGCGUGGGGAGCAAACAGG
rnacentral:rRNA from 1 species